rnacentral:rRNA from 1 species
GCCUACGGCCAUACCACGUUGAACACACCGGUUCUCGUCCGAUCACCGAAGUUAAGCAACGUCAAGCCCGGUUAGUACUUGGAUGGGUGACCGCCUGGGAACACCGGGUGCUGUAGGCG